rnacentral:tRNA from 1 species
AGGAUUAUAGUUUAAAAAAAAACAUUUGAAUUGCAAUCAAAAAUUAUUGUUAUACAAUUUAUCUUA